rnacentral:rRNA from 1 species
CUUGAACGCUGGCGGCAGGCCUAACACAUACAAGUCGAACGAGUGGCGGACGGGUGAGUAAUGUCUGGGAAACUGCCCGAUGGAGGGGGAUAACUACUGGAAACGGUAGCUGAUACCGCAUAACAUCGGAUUUGCCACGGUGGGAUUAGCUAGUAGGUGGGGUAACGGCGCACCUAGGCGACGAUCCCGAGCUGGUCUGAGAGGAUGACCAGCAACACCGGAACUGAGACACGGUCCAGACGCCUACGGGAGGCAGCAGUGGGGAAGAGUGCACAAGGGGCGCAAGCCUGAUGCAGCCAUGCCGCGUGUAUGAAGAAGGCCUUCGGGUUGUAAAGUACUUUCAGCGAGGAGGCGUUACUCGCAGAAGAAGCACCGGCUAACUCCGUGCUAGCAGCCGCGGUAAUAC